rnacentral:rRNA from 1 species
CAGUAGCCGCGGUAAUACGUAGGUGGCAAGCGUUGUCCGGAUUUAUUGGGCGUAAAGCGAGCGCAGGCGGUCAAUUAAGUCUGAUGUGAAAGCCCCCAGCUCAACCGGGGAGGGUCAUUGGAAACUGGUUGACUUGAGUGCAGAAGAGGAGAGUGGAAUUCCAUGUGUAGCGGUGAAAUGCGUAGAUAUAUGGAGGAACACCAGUGGCGAAGGCGACUCUCUGGUCUGUAACUGACGCUGAGGAGCGAAAGCGUGGGGUGCGAACAGGAUUAGAUACCCCAGUAGUCCCUGUCUCUUAUAA